UACGGAGGGUGCAAGCGUUAUCCGGAUUCACUGGGUUUAAAGGGUGCGUAGGCGGAUUGGUAAGUCCGUGGUGAAAUCCCCGAGCUUAACUUGGGAACUGCCGUGGAUACUAUCAGUCUUGAAUAUCGUGGAGGUAAGCGGAAUAUGUCAUGUAGCGGUGAAAUGCUUAGAUAUGACAUAGAACACCAAUUGCGUAGGCAGCUUACUACUCGAUCAUUGACGCUGAGGCACGAAAGCGUGGGGAGCAAACAGG
rnacentral:rRNA from 1 species